CUCAGGGUCGCCCCCUUCCGCCAGAAGCCCCCCUCAGCGACCCCGUUCCCUGUCCCUGGCCGUGGCUCCCGAGGGAGGCGGGCCCCCAGAGUCCUGGAGGGUGCCCCUUUAGAGUAAUAGCCACAGUGGGGGCAUUUAUGGAUGUCUUGCCCAGGGUGGGCGCUAUUUGUGCACCGUUUGGGUUCCCACAGCCGUCCUGUCUCAUUGUGUCACCUCAACACAGGAGGAAACUGAGGCCCAGGCAGGCCAGCCCAUUAGCUAGGGUCCGAGCUGGAUUGGCUUCAGGCCUGUGACUUCACCCCUAGAGCACCUGCGCCUCGUGGACGCCCCCAGGCCACAAUCCCCAGCCAGCCCCCCUGGCCCUGUCCUGCCUUACAGUGCCUUUGGGGGCUCCCUCUUCCCCCAUCCUUUAAACUGAGAUCAUUGCCCACCUCUUGCCAAAAGGGGGGUACUUGGGCCCACUGUACCCCUUUCUCUUACCGCCCUUCCCCCAUCCUUUCCAAAUAUUCCAGAGCUAACAAAAAAAAAAAAAAAAAAAAAAAAAGGAAAGGAAAAAGAAGAAAUAUUCAGAGCUGUUUGAAGGAUAUGGCAUCCCUCAAAGGGGGCAGAUGGCCUGUCGGAGCCGGAGGGCAUCUCUCUGAAGCGGGUCGCUGUGGUGGAAGAUUUCUUUGACAUCAUCUACUCGAUGCACGUGGAGAGCUCGGCGGAGCCAGGCAAAGCCCCCAAGCACGCUGGGCAGAAGAAAACCUACCGAGCGAUUGCGGAGACCUAUGCCUUCCUUCCACGAGAGGCCGUGACCCGGUUCCUGAUGAGCUGCACAGAGUGUCAGAAGAGGAUGCACUUUAACUCCAAUGGCCUAGAGCCCAAAGAAAACGAACCUCCCUCUCCCCUGGUCUCCGGGAUCAUCGAUUACAACAUGCCCCUCACCUCCACGUACCUGAAGCAGAUGAAGUUGCGGGUGAUGAACUCCCAGGAACAGGAUGAGACUUCUGUGAGCAGUGAAGAUUUUGAUAUGAACGACUCCACAUGGAUGUCAGCUGACCCACACCUGGCCUCCAGCCUGAGUCCCAGCCAAGACGAGAGGAUGCGGAGCCCUCAGAACCUCCACAGCCAAGAGGACGAUGACUCCUCCUCUGAGAGUGGCAGCGGCAAUGGCUCUUCCACCCUGAACCCAUCCACAUCGAGCAGCACGCAGGGCGACCCCGCCUUCCCCGAGAUGAAUGGCAACGGUGCUGUGGCCCCCAUGGACUUCACCGCCACCUCCGAAGAUCAGCCCAUCAACCUGUGCGACAAGCUCCCGCCGGGCACGACGCUCAGCACGCCCUCCUACCCCUCAGACGGCUGCGGCACCGAUGGACUGCGGAGUCGCGUCAAGUACGGGGUGAAGACCACCCCUGAGUCGCCCCCUUACAGCUCCGGGAGCUAUGAUUCCAUCAAGACUGAGGUCAGUGGCUGCCCUGAGGACCUGACGGUGGGCCGGGCCCCCACAGCAGAUGACGAUGAUGACGACCAUGAUGACCACGAGGACAAUGACAAGAUGAACGACUCUGAGGGCAUGGACCCCGAGCGCCUCAAGGCCUUCAACAUGUUUGUGCGGCUCUUUGUGGACGAGAACUUGGACCGCAUGGUGCCCAUCUCCAAGCAGCCCAAGGAGAAGAUCCAGGCCAUCAUUGAGUCCUGCAGCCGGCAGUUUCCCGAGUUCCAGGAGCGGGCUCGCAAGCGUAUCCGCACGUACCUCAAGUCCUGCCGGCGCAUGAAGAAAAACGGCAUGGAGAUGACCAGACCCACGCCUCCCCACCUGACCUCGGCCAUGGCAGAAAACAUCCUGGCAGCUGCCUGCGAGAGCGAGACAAGAAAAGCAGCCAAAAGGAUGCGCCUGGAGAUCUACCAGUCCUCCCAGGACGAGCCCAUCGCCCUGGACAAGCAGCACUCUCGGGACUCCGCAGCCAUCACCCACUCCACCUACUCACUGCCAGCCUCCUCCUACUCCCAGGACCCCGUGUACGUCAACGGUGGCCUCAACUACAGUUACCGCGGUUACGGGGCCUUGGGCAGCAACCUGCAGCCCCCUGCCUCCCUCCAAACAGGAAAUCACAGUAAUGGGCCCACCGACCUCAGCAUGAAAGGCGGGGCCAGCACGGCCUCCAGCACACCCACACCCACGCCCUCCAGCAACAGCACCAGCAGGACCAUGCCCGCCGCCCAGCUCAGCCCCACGGAGAUCAGUGCUGUGCGGCAGCUCAUCGCUGGCUACCGAGAGUCUGCUGCCUUCCUGCUACGCUCCGCGGACGAACUAGAAAACCUCAUUUUGCAGCAGAACUGACGCCGCGGCACCCGGAGCGCACUACUCUAGGGAAGGAGGCUGUCCCUGCCCGGCUUCCUGCCUCACCACUUGGUACAUUUUGUUUUCUGAACAAGGUGGGAUCCAAGAGAGCUGUUUCUAGCCACACGCCAAGCACCUGCGACUUUGGGCACAAGGACACUUUUUUUUUUGGAAUCUCACCACACGGGUGCUCUGACCUGCUUGGAAGAGGCCAAUGGGGCAGCUUUGGAAGGGCUGGGGCUCCCCUGACGAGGCGCUGGGGACGCCUGACGAGGCGCUGGGGACGCAGCUCUAUUUAGAAUCAUCUUCGUGGACCCUGAUGUUAGAAUCCCACCCCCAGAUAAUUACCUUUCAAGUCUUAGGUGAGCAGAAUUGCAUAUUUAUUGAGAAAAACAAAGUGGACCCUUUCUUCCUCUCCCCUUAGUAAUUUAUUUUUCUGAAAAUGGAUUUUGUGUUUGUACAGAUUGCCAGUCUGUGUCUGUCUGAUCAGAAGGAUGUAUCCCUGUGACCUAACAUUCCAUAUCACUACACUGGCGCGGGCUGGGGGAGGCAGGCGGGGUGCGGUGGGGCGGGCGCCCGCGGAGGACCUCACCCACACCCAAUGCAAAGCAAAGACAAACAAAAAUGGCUCCCCCACCCCCAUUCCACAGAAGCCCGAGUCACACGGCCACCUGUCUUCUACCUCACACUCCAGCGUGGGCUUUUCCCAAGAUGUGCCCUGAUCCCGUUCUGAAUGACUAUCUCCCGACUCCCCCACACAGUGUGUCUGCCUGGGAGGUAAGUCCAGAGGGCUGGCCAGGAGCUGGGGCCCAGAGGCUCUGACCCUCACGAGCAGCCGCUCGGCGCCCUGGCCCCGGCCCUCCUGGCCGCUUACCAGGACACCGUGCCAGGGGACAGCAGCUGGUCCGCGGGGCCCUUGCCCUCACCUGUCCCCCCCCCCAGGGAGCCUGGUCUGAACACCUCUCCACACAGGCCCAGGGCCCUCAGAUGCCUGCCGGGAAGGGCCCCCAGCUGUCGGGCAGCCACCAAAUAGGAAAAGCAGCUGUGAGCCCCUGGUGGGACUGCAGCUCCUGUCCUCUGCCCCCUGUGGUUGGAGUAAAGGGACCUUCAGUAGAAGUGGAGAAGCCACUUGGGCUCUGCUAGGACCUGCCCUUCUGGAGGGGCCAGUCCUGAAGAAACCUAUAAUCCCUGGAGUGUGAAAAAGGGCAAAAAGAAAAGGCUGGCCUGGUUUCCUUCCUCCCCAAUAGGCACUUCCUCUUGCUCAGUGCAAUACCUACCAGUGCUGCUAAAACCAGGGAUUCACCCAGACCUCAGAAGGCCCACGGGGCCUCUCCAUGCAACACUCCGUAGCCAUGGCAGCAGCUCUCUGCUGCCCGCCCCUGCCCCAUGCUGGCAGAAGCCCUCUGUUGCCUUUCCUCCCUCAGAGCAAAGAGGCCCCAGGGGAGCCCGGGCUGCGUGGAUCCUAGGAACGGCCACGGCCACUCACUUGGCCCCAGAGCAGGUACCCCUCCCAAACCAGCUUUCUGCAGCUUCCUGCCUCCCGCACCACCCUCAGGAGGGCCUGGGAGGGGCUCCUGCGGAUGCCCCACCCCGCCUCCAUCCACGCCCCAUCUGCGGGCCCUGGAGCCAGAGCUCUGAAAGGGAGGGUGCCGCACCUCGUGCUUACUUCCAGCCCCUAGUAGUUGGGGGUGGUCUUUCCUCUCUCAAGUGGCCUCCAAUACCCCACCCAGCCACACCACCUCUGCCUUCCAUCUGACCAAUCUCCAGGCCUCCGGUCAGGGCCAGGACACCCAAGACUCCCCCUUAGCACAGCACAAGCUCCCGUGCCCAAGGCCUGUCACCCCACCGCUGCCAUCCACAAGUCCAGACCCCACCUGCUCAGUGCUACAACCGGAUGGUUCAACUUGUGUAAAUAUUUAUUUUUGUGUGUGAACAAUACUACAAAGUAAUCAGUAGGUCUUUUGCAAAAUGUUACCCCAGGCAAUUUGUGAGAAUCUUAAAAACUGGCAGAGACAAUCGCCUUAGAAUUCUUGAUACCAAUUGCUUGUCAUUACCCCUCCCAGAGGCAGGCCCCAGGCCAGGCACGGAUGCUGUGCUUUCCUCACAGACAGGAGAGAGGAGGGUUUGGGAGGGGCUGCUGCCACCACCCACACGCAAGAGAUUACAGGUAAAGAUCAGGAGAAGCCACAGUGUGAAGUCCCACUUUUCUGAGCUGACCACCUCAGCCUGCCUUAGCGUGGGGUGGGAGCUCAGGCGCACUGGUGUGAGAGGAAAGCCACAUGGGCCGGGGCUCCUUGCAGCCCCUCCGGGACAAGCGGAUUGUGCCACAGUGACCCCACCUGGGUGGACUCCUUGCCUGUGAAGCUACACCCGAAACCCUGGUGACGGCAGAAUCAGGAGCAAGUCGCUGUGUGGAAACAGGACUCCAUUAGCUAGUUCAGUCAGGGAACUUGUUGUGUUUUGCUUUUGUUUUCAAAGAUGCAGCUUUCAACCCCUCCCCACUCCUCCUGACUUGGGGAGCACCAAAGAGCUGGUUCUGGUGGACCUGGCUCACUGCUGUCCCACCCUCACCCUCACUCCAGGGACUGCCUUCUCCCAAAGGGAACUUCCAGCACCCUGCCCUGCAGCCAUUCAUUUGAAAUUCUUAUGGAGGGCCUCAGGGUACACAUUCAUCACUGGGGAUCCCUAAGCUAAAAGGCAACUCCAGAGUAGAACACACCAAUUCCAGAGUCUUUGCAGGGGGCUAAUUCCAGCAGAAGAGUAGAAUCAGGAGGAACGGGAAUUUGGUCUUUGUGGGAGACCUCUAGGAGACCAGUAAUGGUGUGACCCGUCUGAAAUUCAUUUACCGUCACCUCCAGUACAGUUGAUACCCAAGGACAGCGUGGAGGGGAAGGGGGACAGGAGAGGGCUCGCAGGGUUUUCAAAGAUUUUAAACAGGUGGAACCCAGCCAUCCCUAUUCCCAAGGGCCACUUACGACUCCAGGGGUGGUUACAGGAUUAACUACCAGUUCAUUUUCAAAAUGCUGCUUUGAACUCAGAGGGUUGAUACUUUUAAUUUGUAAUUUUUUGUAAAACUUUUUACAAGAUAGUAAAGUAUUUCACCAGAAUACCAGUUUCAAUCCGUCCAUGGUCUGAUUUUUAUAUAAUUUAGUGGUGCUUUAGAAACUUUGUUUUUGUUGUUUCUGAGCUAAACAGCUCAAUCCUUUUUCGCCUGUAUCUACCUAAGACCAAUGUGAACCUUUGUAUUUUUGCUCCUAAUUUUGGACUCAGUGAAAGUGUACUGUUUACAUGUACAGAUGCCCCAGUCCCCGUGUGUUCUGCAAGACUCGCUCGAGGAGGAAGGUGCACCUCAGUAAGCUCAUCUGCUUAGCAAAGCCACAAAACAAAAACCUCUUUUUACCUAUGUUUCCACCUAAAAAUGAAAACGAAAACCCUACGCCAUGUAGAACUCAAGAUUUGCUGAAAAAUACUUUUCUAAGCUCAGAAGCAUCUCCGUGCAGCAGACAGCCCACAUGCCUCUGUCGUGUGUGGUCUGUCAGGAGCAGGGGGCAGAGCGGAGCUGGUACACACCUGCAGGGACAUGGGGUGCUCACUCAGGCAGGGCCUUGCGGCAGUUCCUGCGGGCAUCUCCCAGCAGCCUGGCAAUGGGGAGGUCAGGGGGACUCGCAUGACCUUCAGGGUCAAGCCGCCCAGGAUUUAGGGGAGAGCGUGAGCACCUUAUCUGAGAUGAGGUUUUGGGAUGUUCCAGUGCAGACGGUACCAGCACUCCUCCACCCCUAGAGGCAGCUCUUCGGAGCGGGGCAGGGGGCUCCAGCCCGCCAGCAUAUGGCACUUCAGGCAAACUGUGGAUGGCACCAACUUUUAAAGGUGACUCUUUAUUACUUAAUCAACGGCUACAUCUCUAAAUUAUAUUUUUACAGAUAUGCACCUAUGCAACUUAACGUGGCUCUUCUAAGCAGGUGAGGACUUCCUCCUCAAUGCUCUAUAAAAAUUAUUUGUGUUCUAUAUAGUGAGUUUUUUCCAGUAAAUGUGGCUUAAUAUUUUAAUUCUUAGAAUGUGUCUUCUCUAUGUGAUGCAACUAAAUUCUGUUUUGUUUGUGGAAUGACUCUAGCACAGGCCAAGUCCCUCUCCCUCACUUAACAAAAGACCAAUGAGCUGUUAAUCGAGCUGUUAUCUCCAUGGUAUUACUUGCUAAAUGCACUGAUUUCAUAAGUAUGUGGAAUCCUUUUUCUUUUGAAUCUGUAUAUCAUAUAUAAGACUGAAUCUACUUAAUAAACACUGAAUAACAAA